UGGGGAAUUUUGCACAAUGGAGGAAACUCUGAUGCAGCGACGCCGCGUGAGUGAUGAAGAUCUUCGGAUUGUAAAACUCUGUCCUUAGUGAAGAUAAUGACAGUAACUAAGAAGCAAGCCCUGGCUAAAUACGUGCCAGCAGCCGCGGUAAUACGUAUGGGGCAAGCGUUGUCCGGAAUUAUUGGGCGUAAAGGGUACGUAGGCUGUUUAAUAAGUCCUAAUUAAAAGGCUAUGGCUCAACCAUAGUAUGGUUAGGAAACUGUUGAACUUGAGGAGAUGAGGGGAAAGUGGAAUUCCAUGUGUAGCGGUGAAAUGCGUAGAUAAAAGGAGGAACACCAAUGGCCAAGGCAACUUUUUGGAAACCAACCGACGCUGAGGUACGAAGGCGUGGGGAGCAAACAGG
rnacentral:rRNA from 1 species